rnacentral:rRNA from 1 species
GAUGAACGCUAGCGGCAGGCCUAACACAUGCAGGUCGAGGGGCAGCACAGAAACAGCAAUGUUUUGGUGGCGACCGGCGGACGGGUGCGUAACGCGUAUGCAACCUACCUUUAACAGGGGGAUAACGGAGAGAAAUUUCCACUAAUACCCCAUAACAUCGAUCAAGGCAUCUUGAUUGGUUGAAAACUCCGGUGGUUAAAGAUGGGCAUGCGUUGUAUUAGGUAGUUGGUGAGGUAAUGGCUCACCAAGCCUACGAUACAUAGGGGGACUGAGAGGUUAGCCCCCCACACUGGUACUGAGGCACGGACCAGACUCCUACGGGAGGCAGCAGUGAGGAAUAUUGGUCAAUGGGGGCAACCCUGAACCAGCCAUGCCGCGUGCAGGAAGACGGCUCUAUGAGUUGUAAACUGCUUUUAAACAGGGAUAAAGCACAGUAUGUAUACUGUGUUGAAGGUACUGUAAGAAUAAGGAUCGGCUAACUCCGUGCCAGCAGCCGCAGUAA